ACCGGCACACUAGUUGCUCGCCAAACCACUACGAGUGAAAACUUAAAACUUAAAGGACUUGACGGUACUUCACCCAACCUAGAGGAGCCUGUCUAAUAACCGAUAACCCACGAUUAAUCCAACCACUUCUAGCCACCCAGUCUAUAUACCGCCGUCGCCAGCUCACCUUGCAAAAGAAACAAAGUGAACCAAAUAGUCAUACACUAACACGACAGGUCGAGGUGUAACUAAUGAAGUGGACUAAGAUGGGCUACAUUUUCUAAUACAGACCAUACGAAUAAAGACAUGAAACUGUUUUUUGAAGGUGGAUUUAGCAGUAAGAUGAGAACACAAUACUCAACUGAAACCAUUGCAAUGAAGUGCGUACACACCGCCGGUCACCCUCAA
rnacentral:rRNA from 1 species